UACGUAGGCAGCAAGCGUUGUUCGGAGUUACUGGGCGUAAAGAGUGCGUAGGUGGUGCCCUAAGUCUGUUGUGAAAUCUCCCGGCUUAACUGGGAGGGUGCGGUGGAAACUGGGGUGCUUGAGUGUGGGAGAGGUAAGCGGAAUUCCUGGUGUAGCGGUGAAAUGCGUAGAUAUCGGGAGGAACACCUGUGGCGAAAGCGGCUCACUGGACCACAACUGACGCUGAGGCGCGAAAGCUAGGGGAGCAAACAGG
rnacentral:rRNA from 1 species